ACAACACAAAGUAUUAUUAUUAUUAUUAUUAUUAUUAUUAUUAUUAUUAUUGGGUCGCAGUAGUUUGCCCUUCCUAAAAUGGCGGUUGUUUUGCUCCAGUGUUCUUCGCAUGUCCGUGGCUGUAAAUGUUCCUGAAAUGAGAGAGCCUCACGAGCGCAGCGUUCCGAGCGACGUGGCGACUCAGAUUCCUCAUUUUAUAAAUCGUACAGUCCAGGGAUGAAGAGUCCACGCGCGCACAGAGCAGGGCUUUAAGUUUGCUGCAUCUGACGAGUGUCAGUGUGUUCGGUUGUGAGCGCUUUUUGGUGUCUGGAGCUACACAGCUGAUGCAGGUCCAUGGGUCACUGCAGUGUGAAGCUGUGAUUUCUAGUGUCAUGAUGUGGCAACGUGUGUUCACUCUGAGACACAGAACAGGAAUCUCUGCUGAACUUGUGACAGGUUACUGUGGCUGGCUUUAACACUGAGCUAAUAAUGGAGCCCAGAGGGCAGAACUGGAAUGAACAGUGGCCACAGAACCAGCGAUCAGAUCACAGAGUCAGAGAUGAGCAGUACAGGUCUCAUCACACAGGAAAACAAGGCCAUUACCCUCCUGCAGAUGUAAGGGACAGCGAGAGACGGUGGUAUGCAACAGAUCCGCGCUACAUGUACUACAUGAGUGGUCCUCCUGCAGAGUUUAGCACGGCAUACCGCAGCCAAACCUACACACCUGACCGAGCUCAAUCACACUCCAGGCAGGGAUAUGAUUAUCCUCCCCAGAGUUACUGGGACUACAGGAAUGACUACAGCUACUAUGAUCAUGGCUACUACAGAGGCCAUUAUGGAUACCCAGCCUCAGAUACCAGUGGAAGGCCGGUGCAGGGAUGGAGGACAGAGGGGCAUCAGGAGUGGUCAGGAGCCACAUACACCCAUCAGCAUGGGUAUGAGCUCAGAAGAGACAGUGGACAGUAUGAAGGUGGUGUUCCUGUGAGAGAAUGCGUGGAAACCAGGAAUGAAGCCAGAGAGGUGUCUGAACUUGGAUGCUUAGAAAGUUCUAAAACCUCUGGCCUGUCAUCCAGCACCUACGAACUCAGCCAGUACAUCAAUGGAGACGAGCAGAGCAAUGCUCCACCUCCAGCUCACUCAGGUAGAUGUGGGCAGAGUAAACAUACAUACAGUAAACAUCAUAUCAUCAUUUCUGCCUGUAGAUCAACAGAACAGACUUUGGUUUCUGAUUAUCACAGCACACAUGCUCGUCCUUUUUUAUUCAAGAUAAUUUAGAAUCCAAUUGCUGCACAUAGCUGAGCAGCUGAAGGUUGAGUUCCUUGCUUAAAGGAAUAGUCCA
ensembl:lncRNA